rnacentral:rRNA from 1 species
CUUGUCUCAAAGAUUAAGCCAUGCAUGUCUAAGUGUAAAUACGUCUACACUGUGAAACUGCGAAUGGCUCAUUAUAUCAGUUAUAGUUUAUUUGAUGGUCCUUACUAUUUGGAUAACCGUAGUAAUUCUAGAGCUAAUACAUGCAUCAAUCCCCGACUUCUGGAAGGGGUGUAUUUAUUAGAUGGAAACCAAUGCGGGGUAACCCGGAAUAUGGUGAUUCAUAAUAACUUUCGGAUCGAUUUAUCGAUGCAUCAUUCAAGUUUCUGCCCUAUCAGCUUUGGAUGGUAGGGUAUUGGCCUACCAUGGCUUUAACGGGUAACGGAGAAUUAGGGUUCGAUUCCGGAGAGGGAGCCUGAGAAACGGCUACCACAUCCAAGGAAGGCAGCAGG